rnacentral:rRNA from 1 species
UACGGAGAGUGCAAGCAUUAAUCGGAAUUAUUGGGCGUAAAGGGCGCGUAGGCGGCUUUGUAAGUCUUGUGUGAAAUUCCGGAGCUCAACUCCGGAGCCGCAUAGGAAACUACAAAGCUUGAGGUUUGGCGGAGAAAAUGGAAUUCCACGUGUAGCGGUGAAAUGCGUAGAUAUGUGGAAGAACACCGGUGGCGAAAGCGAUUUUCUAGCUUAUACCUGACGCUGAGGCGCGAGAGCAUGGGGAGCAAACAGG